UACGAAGGGGACUAGCGUUGUUCGGAAUUACUGGGCGUAAAGCGCACGUAGGCGGAUUUGUUGGUCAGGGGUGAAAUCCCGGGGCUCAACCUCGGAACUGCCUUUGAUACUGCAAGUCUCGAGUCCGAUAGAGGUGGGUGGAAUUCCUAGUGUAGAGGUGAAAUUCGUAGAUAUUAGGAAGAACACCGGUGGCGAAGGCGGCCCACUGGAUCGGUACUGACGCUGAGGUGCGAAAGCGUGGGGAGCAAACAGGGA
rnacentral:rRNA from 1 species